rnacentral:rRNA from 1 species
CCUACGGGAGGCUGCAGUGAGGAAUAUUGGUCAAUGGCCGUAAGGCUGAACCAGCCAAGUCGCGGGAAGGAAGAAGGAUCUAUGGUUUGUAAACUUCUUUUAUAGGGGAAUAAAGGUAUCCACGUGUGGAUAUUUGCAUGUACCCUAUGAAUAAGCAUCGGCUAACUCCGUGCCAGCAGCCGCGGUAAUACGGAGGAGGCGAGCGGUAUCCGGAUUUAUUGGGUUUAAAGGGUGCGUAGGUUGUUUGUUAAGUCAGCGGUGAAAGUUUGUGGCUCAACCAUAAAAUUGCCGUUGAAACUGGAAGCCUUGAGUGUGUUUGCGGUAGGCGGCCUGCGUGUUGUAGCUGU